UUGGUGACACGAGGCCCUGAAGGGCCCUAACUGUCUCCAUGGUUCCAUCAGGCCCCACAGAGCCAUAAUGGUCUCUGGGUUCCAUGAAGCCCUGCUGCGUCACCACGGCCCCUUGGUUCCAUGGGCUCCAGUGGUGCCACAAUGAUCCCCUUUGGUUCCAUGAAGUCCCCACAGUGUCCCAGUGAUCUCCAUGGGAAAGAAAGAAUCCAGCCCCAGUGUUGGAGGGGCAGUCACCAGAGGCCAAGGCCAGCCAGACUUGAUGGUGCUGGCAGAUUUUGCCUGGGAUCAACCCUCGGAUAUACAGAAUUUUAGAGGUGGAAUCCCAAUUUCAGACAUGGACACCUGGAGGAAGAAGGAUGGUUCUUUACCAUAGGAAGGAAAGCACAGAGCCCAAGGGUUUCAAAGGCAGAAGAGGAGAGAGGUGGCUCCUGGGAGGCCAAGCCAGUCUCACUUGUUUUUCCUGGCAGCUUUUGUAAUGGAGGAAUCCUUGGAUAUAUGGAAUUUGGGAGGAGGAAUCUCAACUUUGACCACAGAUGCCUUGAGAAGAAGGACGGUUCUUUUCCAUAGGAAGGAAAGCACCAACCCCAGUGUUUGGAAAGCAGUGCUCUUCAAGUCUUCAGGGCUUGUGCAGCUGACUGGAGUCAGUUUGGAGUUAUAUUAAGGAGGAAGAUUUCAAACUACACCUCAUGACUUUUUUCUUUUAAUCAAGUGAGAUGUUGAGUGCCAGCAAGGUAAGCCUCCCCAAGCUACAAGGUCUGCCUUUGAUGUGUGAAGGGAUACCAGGCCACGCUACAUCCCUGCAAAUAAGAAACACAUCCUGUGGCAACUGAAGUGGGUAGCUACCGGACCAAGAAAUUAUGGAAGAGGUGCAAUUACACCAUUGGUUCUGUUUUUUGUAAGUGGGAUGAUAUGGGGAGAUGUCUCUCCUGAUAGUUUCUUUUUCUCUUGUAAUUUUGGGUCUUUCACCUUCUUCCCAUUUCAGACGGUAAUAAAACCUUACACAAAAGUC